GCCUGAAUGGUCUAGUGGUAUGAUUCCUGCUUUGGGACUCCAGAAAUGCAGGAGGUCUCCGGUUCAAUCCCGGAUUCAGGCC
rnacentral:tRNA from 1 species